rnacentral:tRNA from 1 species
AUUCAUGUAGAUUAAGAUUAAAAUUAUUAGGCUGUUAACCUUGAGAUGAGACGUAAGUUUCCAUGAGUA